CCAGAGUCCACCUGCACCCCAGCUUCAGCAGAGCUGUCCUGUCAGAUUUGUUGAAACUGACAGCAGCAAUGAAAGCUACUGUUGUUGUGUUAAAAUCAAGGGGGAUGUGAAUACCUCCGGUUGGAUUUGACACUGGUAUCUCCAGAGCUCUCUGAAUCCUUAUCUCCAUAAUCUCCUACGGAGCUUCAAGAUAUAAACUUCUUAUUUAGACAUCAUAUGCGUUAACUGAAGUAAAAGCAUCCUCGUCUGAGAAGAUAUAUGGGUAAUUUUUGAUCUUCACUUAGCUUGCAGUCAUAGGUCUAUGAAAUGACUGAAAUGCAGUAAGAAUGGAGGCUGUUCCAAAUAUGUAUCCUGAAGGUGUAAGCUGUGAUGCAGCAUUUGCUUGAAUAUGCAUGAGACCUUUUCAUACCCAGUGGGUCAGAAUAUUUUUUUCCCUUGAGAUUAUGUCUUUGACUCAUCCUGAUGAAAAAAGAACAUCCCUUUCAAAUUCAUUGACUUUUACAUUAGCCAUAAUUUGAGAUUGCCUCUGUGGAGAUGAGUUGCCUUGGGGAGUCAAGAAUGUUUGAAAGAGAGAAUUUAAUGUGAAGAGGGUUUGCCACAGCUGCAGUCCUUUCUUCUGCAAGAGGUGUUUUAAAGUUGAUUUCACUGUAGGGUGAAGAUAAAACCUUUUCACUGUUCAUUAACCUUUAUUUUGGGGUGUUUCUGUUAAUAAGUUAUCUUUCUUGCUUUUGUUUUUAUUAUUUCUGUACUUUAUUCUUUGUAUUUUUUUCCUGCUGCAAAUGUCUAUAUUGUCUUGUCAUCUGCUAUUUGCUGUUAGUUUUGGUUGCAUUUCAGUGUUAUUUUUUAGAUGUAUUUUUUAGUGGAAGAAUAAAUCAUAUCAUGUUAUUUUGAAUGAACUUAUUUAAUGAAUGUAAAAUGUUUGAAUGAUCCCUUGAAUCUCUGAAUGCAUUGUCACUGAAUUACAUUGCCUUUCACAGAAACUUACAGCUAAUCAGUUUAUAACACAUAUAUUUAUGCUCUAUUUCUAGGUAUCUGUAGUUUAUUUUUAAUUCUUUUGUAAUUACAGACCUUGAUACUAUGACAUAAUCUGCUUGUCUUUGUUAGAAGCAGAAGAAAGAAUAUCACCUGUAGUCACUUCCAAAAGCAGAGUCAGUUAAAGUCAAUUGGUUCUAUUAUCACUGUGCUCUUCACAUUCAUAUGCCUCAAACUGGACAGAAGCCCUUUAAAUUUAUCUGCUGUAUCGAGGCAAUCAAAAGACAAGGAAUGGCAGUCACUGAGAAUGCAUUGCUUUGGAUCUCAGUAUCAGUAUUUGCCUUAAGAAAUACAGUGAGCCAUUCAACCCAAGGAGGGAUACUUCUGCUUUUAAUCAGCAGUUUUAGAAUGGCAUUAUUAACUUUUCUUUUAACUUGUUUUAUUAAUUAAAUAUUAUAACUGUAUAGUGAAUAGAUACAGGGAAGAAUGCAAAGAGUAUUUGAUGAAGCCUGACAAAGGAGAGAAUGUUCUAACUUUUUCAGAAUAAGAAAAAUAUACAGCUUUCCAUCAGAUUUCUUAGAUUUGAUGUUGAGACUCUAAUGUGAUCCAAAGCAGACAGCUCCUUUCUUUUAAAUGGUAAAACGUUAUCACUUAGAGAGCAAAUAACAGAGCAAAACUGUUAGGUGAUAAUAGAUGGUAGGCUAUAUACAUUGUUUUGUACUUAUCAAUGUAUAAGAACAUGUGAGUUAGGUGAUAGGCUUUUGAGUACAAAUGUGAAUUAUUAUUUUUGUGUAAAUACAAGAAAUGUGUCAUUCAAUAGGAGAAUGGAAUUAAGAACAUGAAACUUUGAUGUUAUAAGAUGGCUGGAUUGACUAUAUAGAUAUAGUUCAAAAUUUCUGUAUCUAGACAUAAACUUAGAUUGUGGCAGAACAUGCUUUACUGUUAGACUGCACAGGAUUUUAUAGGAAGGAUGUCUUGAAGGAUAGUGAACAUUUUUCCUUGGUUCUCAUGCAUCGGGAGAACUUUGACUCUCAGAGUGAUGCUAUAGGUAUCAAAACUUGAGAAACGUUAGAAUUAUAUUCCUCAGUUCCUCAGUGAAGUAUGAUUUACUUCUGCUGAGAUCACGGAAUUCAUAGUGGUAAUACUUGUUUUGUUCCACCAUUCCUAAAAGCUUACCUGUAGGUCUUUAGGUAGGAAAGAGCAGAACAUCCUUUACUUUGCCGUGCUAGUGUUUACCACAUCUUCUGUCUAAAUGUUGGAGUUCAACAUGCAAACUGCUAAUAUACUCUAACAGCAUUUUGCAGAUUAUAAGAUUAUUUUUGUAACCCUUGUUUGCAUGUGAGUUUAAUACUAGUAUCUCUGGUAGUUUCUUCAUGUUGCACUUAUUAGACACAAAUCAUCAUCAAAGAGUGUGUUGUGUGGGCAGGAGACCUGGCUCUUGACUGAUAAGCUGCAAUUGGAAUUCUCUUCCCAGAGCCAACAGAGAUGAUUAUUAAUUGUAAUUAUUUGAAUAUUUUUUCCAUGUCACUGGAAUAAUAAAGUUAAAGUUUAAGGAAACAGAUUCUGAUCUGGUAGGAGUCAGUAGCAGCUUUCAGCUGGGUAGUCAGUAUACUGUGACAAAUUCUAUCGUUGCAGCAACAUUGAGCUCUCUAUGCAGCUCUCUCUUCUUUUGUGGUGGGUUUUUAAGCUAUGGACUAAUUUAGACCAUUGGUACCCAAGGUAAGAAGGUCAUCGCUGAUUGGAUUAUAUGUCUUAGGGUAUUCCUCUUCUCUUGGUUCACUAGAUGUGCUCAUGUGUAAGCCUCACAAGGCAAAUUAGUGUACCCGACUCAGGGCAGACCAGGUGCCUUAAGCUGCUGGAAAGAAAUCAAUUUACUUGAUGGGGACAAACUUUUAUUUCAGGCCUUUAACACACCUUUUGCAGCUAUGCCUUCUUUUAACAAUUUGCUUCUUGGACCUGCACACUGUUCCAUACUCUUUUGCCUUGAUUUCCCCCAUUUUAAUUUUAUUUCAUCCUGCUUCUUCCCACUGAUUUUAGUUGAAAGUUCAACUGAUGAUAACCAAUUUUUCUGUAACUUGACCUAUAUUGUGUCAGUAAUUGCAAAUAGCAUAGCACAUCUGUUUUUGCUCAGUGGGAAGUGACAUACUCUUGAUUAAAGUUUAUUGCUAAUGUGCUUUGAUUAAUGUUUCAGACUAUGUUAUUGUUUUACUUUUUCAUUUCUGGACAUUUUCUAUUUCUGUUUUAUCAAUUCUAUUUCCUCCAAUUGUCGUAAACAUAAUGUAUGAUGUUAAUAACACGUCAGCUUCGAAAAUGACGAUAAAACAAUACUUUUGCUGAAAAUUGCAGUUAAAGAGGAGUGUGAUUUAUAAAACUUGUUUGUUUAUUGAGAUGCUGGCUAUAGAAAAAGAUGUUUGAAUUUUCUUCUUCAAAUUGUUUAAUAUGAAAUCAUAAUUUAUAGAUGGAAUGCAGAUCUAUUAUGUAAACUAGUCCAUUUCUGAUUGAAAGGACCAUCCAUUUGCUAGAGCCUCUUUAAUCCUCCUUCAAGUUUCCAGUGUUCCUUUAGAAGACUUUCAUGCAGAUUUUAUAGAUAUUCAGCUCAUUAAUCACUUCAAUUUUUUCUCUUUCUCCAGUAACUGUACUGUUCAGCUCACCAUGUUGAAUGACUCAUUUUCCUUUCACAGAUCCAGAUCAUGUGUUUUUAAUAGAAUCUUCAGUCUAUUUUUGUAGUAUUUUAUAAUAGUACCCACCUUCCACUGGCAUAAAGGACCAGCUGUUGACUGAUUUGAAAAAAAUAUAUGUAGGCUCAUGAAGACUAGUUCUUACCUCUCUUCAACUGGAUGAAUGUAUUUUGAUCCUUGAGGCUCCUUUUAAGACAUCACCUAAGCUUGUGAUUUCUUGUCUUUACAUGUGCAAGCAUCUCAGCUGGCCAAUGUGCUCCCAUCUUUUUCUUCGGUUAUAUUUCCUCCAGACUGUUCCUGGACAUCAACUCUAGACAGUUUCUUGGAUAACAGGUAUUCCUAUACUGAGUAGAACUGUGAUUCUUCUGUGGAUGUUCUAUUCUAUACAUAUACCUAUGUCCAACUUUGUAUUUCCAGCUGUCUCUAACUAGCUUACCAUUGCUGACAGAUGUUUUUUUUUUUUUCCUUAUUACCUCUCCCCUAUUUCCUCCUUUAUUUGGGGGAUAUAUACUUUAUUUUUCACCAUGUCUUUCAGUUAUGUCCAAAUAAAGUAAUUUCUCUGCUUUGCUUUUUCCCUUCCCUUCCCCUUUUUCUUUUCCUUGUUUUUUCCUCUUCACUUUGCUUCAGUUCAGUUGGAAACAUUUGCCAUCUUUCUUAAUAUGUUAUUUCUCAUUCUUCCAGCUCAUUUAGGGAAUUAUUAAAGAAUAGAAAUGAUCAACAUGAUCCCCUUGUUAUUGCAAAAGAUGUCAGCUUGGCAUACUGCUAGUCCUCAUUGUCUUUGGUUUACAUUCAAUUAGCCAGUCUUUGGAUCUGUCCAAUCCAAUUUAAAUUAACAUUUCAAUUACUCUUUCAUGAAAGAGAGUAAAUGCUUCAUUAAAUUACACGCCUUAUUAAAAUAGCCAUCAACAUCUGUAAAUAAGCUUUCUGACAUAUUAUACAACAUAAAUGAUUUUUCACUAUCACAAAAAUACCUAAAGUACCUACCAUUUUAAGUAGGCUAGAAUUUAAAAUGUUAGGUUCUUAAUACUGUCUGUAUGAGGAGACAAAAUGCUGUCUGUAUGAGGAGAUAAUAAACUGAUUCAAGAGCUGCAUAGUCUCAGAUUUCCUGAAAACAUUUCUGUGUGUUUUAGAGAAAUGGAGCACUUGAGUUUCUCUCAAAUCACAAAUGAUAGAGCACUGUGCUUGUUGCUGAAGAAGGACAGAACAAAAAGAUAUCUCAGUGCCCCUAGAUAUUAAAAUGAAAACAUACCACUAAUGGAGGGUGGAUCAGGGUUCACGGCAGCCUGAAAUUUUUUGCCACUUCCCACAAGGCAACUUCUGCUGUCACGUGCAAUGAUACAGUGCCCUUGUGAUGUUGAUGAGAUAGCAUGAGUGUUUCUGACAGCUAUGUACUGAACAGAAUGCGGGAAAUGAACCAUAAUUUAUAACUAGUCUUAUAUUCAAGUUCCCAUAGCAUAUGAUGAAUGGAUUCACUGCAAUUUGGACUCUUUUACUAGAUGUUUGUAAUUUUUGGAGUUCUCUCUUCUUCAAGCCACAAUCUAGUCAUUCCCUUAUGCAUGUGUAUUACUUUUAAGGAUGAAUUUCUGUACAUCUGCAUUCAGAAAAGUACUUACAAUUUGUCCCUAACUCUAAGAUGAGUAAUAACUGUGGAAAGCCAGCAAUCAAAUAAUGUUUCAUCUUACAGCAACCAGGAAUGAGCUUAAACAUCAUGUAACGCUUGUCAGCCUUCUUGGCUCUCAGUAAAGAAAACCAAAUCUUUUCCUUUUUCUAUUCCCUCACCACAUAUUUUAACUUGAACAUGCCUUUCCUUCUGUCCUUUUUGCCCACAAGACAGAACCUGGUAAAACAACUGUCAGUAGCUCUGUUCAGGGCAGAGCAAUGUCUCUGCUUCAGUAACUGCAGUGCAGACUUCAAAUUAUGACACAAAAAUGUUUUAGAACGAUAAGAUGAAAAAUAUCUAUUUUUUAUUGGCUGUUUACAUGGUUGCUAUACUUAAUAUUACACUAUAAUGUUUGCUUUCAGCCACUGUUCAGCUGUAUACAUAUAUUUUGACCUUGAUGACAGAAAAAAUUCUCAAAAAGCCUAGUCAUAAAUUAACAUUGAAAAGGUGUAGGUGACUUUUUCUUUUUUUUUUUUAUUUCAAACUCUACAGCCACCUAUGCUGUAAAUAUAUUUGUUGGACAACCAUUUCAGCAGUGCUGCAAUGUGCAAGUACUUGCAAAUUUGAGACAGAAGUAAGAUGACAAGAGCUGCCAUGGAGAUUGUAAAAUAUUUAUUAAUACAAUAAUAGUACUUUCUCUUGGAUCAUAUUUAUAAUUUAAAUUGUAUACCACAAAGGUACCUUCGUCCUUUAAAGAAGAUCAGAAAAUUUCAGUUUAGAUACAUGCUGUAUAUUCCUAAAUAGCUUAAUUUACUUCGUAUGUAGGCAACAUAAUUUGAUCUUUAAAUUUAAAAAGACAUUUCUUCUUAUAUUCCCGAAUAAUGCAUUUGGGUAUAUUCACUUUUGUUGGUAGAAUAGUGUUCACAGACAGCUGAACUUCAAGUUUUUUAUAAAACUUGCCUUAGUUAUAGAAUUUGAAAAGAAUGGAGAGAAUAUAUCUUUCCAUAUUUGAAUCUUCAGAGAGUUUGAUACAAUUUUCAAGUGCCAGUGAAAAAAAAAAAAAGCUCCUAAAUGAAAUGUAUGUUAGAGCCAUUUUGAAAGUCUGAAAUUUGUAGUUGCUGUUCUACAUCUACCACAGACUCACUAUGUAAUUUUGUGCAGGUGAUUUGGGGCUAGUUUCUUCCAUUCUUACCUGUGAAAUACCUUAAGGGGUGCUUAAUAUUUUUCAAUUUCCAUUCUUUACAAUUAGGUUUAUAAUUCUUAACAUUGGUCUGUACAUAGCAUUGAUGAUGAGAUUGGAGGAGACCAUGCAGCAACUGAACUCUCUCUGCUUUUGAUCUUUUAUUUGUCUUUCAAUACUGUACUGCUGAUGGGUAGAGGAGGUGAACAUAAUCUACUUUCAGACCUUCACAAAAUCUUCACUAUCCUACACUGUAAGCCUGUUCUGAAACUUUAUAUGUACAAAGACCUUGGAGAAAAAAAUAUCUGUAAAGGACUAGGCUUUCUUUGACUAAGCUAAAUUCUUAUUGCAGUGUGGACAUGCUAUGGCUCACUGUAGGCUCUUGUCAUUUGUCCAGGAUGUUAUGAUGUGGAAUACCAAUAGCAAAGUUACAAAACCAUGACAGCUCUCCACUGUAGCACAGCUCAGGCACAUUUAUAUGACAUAGAGAUGUGAAUUAUUGGCCUAUAGCAAGCCUGCAGAUAAAUGCAGAACCUCAGUUCCUUGUACCUGUGAUUUGAUCAAGUACUCAGUCUCUAUUAAGCAGCGGAAAUUGCUUUUAAGCUAUUUCUUGAAAUGGGGAAAUGAAAGAUGCUCAUAAACUGCUUCUAGGAAGAGCAGCACUAAGUUUGAGGUAGCAUGGAUGAGCCUACCAGACUGGUUUGAGUACAUCUGGAUUUGUUAUUUUUCGCGUUCUUUGUUAAUCAUGAUCUCGUUAUGAGUGACUUUGUCUUAAAUUUUAAUGCUCUAUCUGAACUGCAGAUGAGUUUCAGCUUGAAUGAGGAGGGGAUAGCAGCAGUAGAAUAAGCAUAGUUGUUUAUCUAUUUUUUUUUUUGUCAAUUUCUUCUUCACUUUAAUGUUUUUCUUUUAAAAUGACCUGCUAGUUAGUAUGCAAGGACAUUUACUGUGUAUCAUGGCAUCAGCAAGACAGUUAUGAAAAACAGCUAGAUUAAAUUGUCAAUUUAGAGACCAGAUUGCAAUCAGAAUUUGAUUUUGUGUCACU
ensembl:lncRNA